GGGGGUUUAGCUCAGCGGUAGAGCACUUGCCUAGCAAGCGCAAGGCCCUGGGUUCGGUCCCCAGCUCCA
rfam:Rattus norvegicus chromosome X, whole genome shotgun sequence.